GGACCCAUAGCUCAGCGGAUAGAGCUCCUGCCUUCUAAGCAGGAUGCCGCAGGUUCGAUUCCUGCUGGGUCCGCCA
rnacentral:tRNA from 1 species